AAAUUGCCUUUUAAAAAAGAACAACUUAUUUCUAUCAACUAGCUUCAUCACAUGAUCUUUCUGGCCAAUAAGAGGGUAUGGCUUUGCUUGGUCUCAUCAUUUCCUGCUCUCUAAAUAUGGGCAUUGGAGGUAUUAUCAAAAAUCAACUCUCCCUCCCCUAAUAACAAUAACUAUAAAUAUAUAACAGAUCUCAGCUGGGUCUCAGCCCCAGCCCGACCCCAAACAUUCCAGGGAGGAUUAAACCCUGCAGACCAUAGACAAUGCUCUUCCAAAGAAGGCAAUGGCCCCAUUCCCCUUAUAGAGGUUUGAACUGACAAAACAUUUUAGGCUUCUCUUAAGUCUUGAUUCAGGUUUAUGCUUUAUUAAUAAACAGAUAGGGGAGAAGACUCACAUAUAUACACAAAAGCUGGGGUACCAGCUUUUUGAGAAGAUACCCCCGGUCUAUCUUCCUUCAGGAAACAACUGAAGACUUGGAUGUUUCAGCAGGCUUUCGGAGAUACAGUCAUUAAUUAAUCAGCCCCAGAGAGUUUUUAAGAAUCUAUCCUGUAUUUAUUACGGUCUUGCCUUUUAUGUGUUUUUAAUGUAAUUUUUUAUCCUGUAUUGUUGUUUUAAUUGAUAUAUUGCAUUACUGUUUUAUCUGUUUUAUAUUAUGACUAGCUGUGCCCGGCCACGCGUUGCUGUGGCGAAGUAUGGUGGUAUGGGAAAUAAAGUAUUGAGGAAUUGGUGGUAGUUAAGGUAAAGGGUCCCCUGGGCUGAGUGGGUUGCUAGGAGACCAAGUGAGCGGAGCUUAGCCUUCUAACUGGCAGCAAUUGGAUAAAAACAAUUAUUCCUCUCCCUCUAAUUAGGACUUUAUUUUUCUUUUCUUUUUGUUGUAUCAACCUAGAGGCAUGGAUGAGGGGUUGUGCUGUCAAUUUUUGAGGUUGUGGGGUGUUUACUUUUGUUGUUUUGUCCGCUGCCAUGAUGCCAUCACUCUUUUAUAUAUAUAGAUUAUUAUUAUUAUUAUUAUUAUUAUUAAAGUUGUGUAAAAGUGCCUUCAUUCAAUCGUGUGGAUGCACCCAAAGUCUGAUGCUGCUAUUGUUUUUGUUGUUGUAUCAGUAGACAGCAAAACUGUGUAGCAAGCACACACUUUUUUGGGCCUCGACUUCUUAUUUCAUGCACAAAUCAUGGGAUUUGUACAAACAAAAUAUAACCAGAGAGGUCUCUGCAUUGAACAAUGUUCCCUGAGACUUUGACAUUUGAACAACAACAACAAAAGUCUUAAUUGCUCCUCUAUCAAUCUCUCAGGCUUCCUUGAGGUCCAAGAAUCCCAUUAUUAUUUGCAGAGAAAGAAGCGGUGCCAAAAGUUCCAACUUUGUGCCAAACUGUAAUAGCAAUGAUAUUUGAUAGGACCUGGCAGCAUAAUAAUACUGAGAUACUUUGCAGAAAGCAUCUUCCUUCAUUUGCAAUCUGAUGUGCUCCUUGCAAGUGUUUCUGAUGGGUAUUUGCUAAAACAGAAUGUAAUGUAAACCAUAGUUUUUAAAGUAUAAUCGCUUUGGUGUGGUGUUUGAACUAGUUUAUUCUUGACUUAAGUGUGCCAGAAAUCAAAGCCUCAGGGUUCAACUCACUUUUGGGUUCUCCCCCAUGUUCUUAUAGCACUUGUAACUUCCUCCAUGUUUACAAGUCUCACUUACUGCACUUUGAUCAGCCCAUCCUUAUGUUUUAUUGCUGCAUUUUAACUUUGUCUUAUUAAUGGUUUGAUUUUAAUUGUACUUUUUUAAUUUUCAUUCGUGCGUUCUCGGUAUUUCAUGUUUUUGUAUGUAUACUUGUUUUGCAUUUGUAAGCCGCCCUGAGUCCCUGCGGGGAGAUAGAGGCGGGGUACAAGAAUAAAAUUAUUAUUAUUAUUAUUAUUUUUAUUAUUAUUAUUAUUAUUAUUAUUAUUAUUAUUUUAUUAUGACACAGCAAACAAGAUAGACAUGCUGGAUUUCAUAUCACAAAAUCACAAGUCGAACACUUCCCAAGCGUCUAGGACUGUGUAAUGUAUUUUCGGAUGAUGCGUGCAGAUCCCAGUAGGGUGGCCUUUUGCAGUUGGCAGAUCGUA
rnacentral:lncRNA from 1 species